AUAGACAUGCCGAUAUGAGAUCCUGAAAGAUUGUUAUAUGCAUAUUGGCUUUCAUUGAACUUAGAGCAUUUUGAAACAUAAGAUAACUCGCCUGUUUUGGAGGAAGGAUGUUAGGUUUUUACAAAAAAAUGUUUGUAGAAGUUGAAGCCUGUACACUUCUAUUUCCAUCGCUGCGUCUAGGCAUGCGAAAUUCGAAUUUUCACAAGCACCUUGCCACGCUAAUUGAAUUUACUGCUUGGCAGAAAGUAGCCCUUUUCUUCUUAGAAAAGUUGUGAAUGUUGAGUGCCAUCCACAAUAAAUUUUCAGCGAACUGAGGGGAAGCAUCUUGUGCAGCCCAAGACAUGCCCUCCUCCUCUUCCCUUUCACAGAUAAGGGAUUUUCUUCAUCAUUUUCAGUUCUCCAACACAUAAACAUGAAACUUUAGUUUUCUUAAAAAACUUUUUAAGAAAACUAUCCCAAUUUUCUCCACAAGUGAACAAGACUCCCAAUAUUGAUAUUAAGUAAAAGAGAGAGAGAGAGAGAGAUACUGCAAAAGGAACCAAAAACUAGUUCGUGAAUCCUCAGUAUAAUGAACCAGCCACUGUCAAUGAUGCCAAGAAAAUUCUGAUGUCCUCUGAAACAACAUCAAAUAAUGUAUACAAGCUAGCAAAAGUAUGUAUCUUUCAAAAAUGCAGUCCCCUGGUGGCCAAAAAUUGCUUCUUCUGUGUCAUCAAGCAUCUUCUCCAACUACUGGCACCUUCAUUUCAAAUUAUGUUCAGGGAAACUAAGGCACCACCUUUACUUUAGCCUUCCACAGUAAGUACUUGGCAUUUUCUUGCUUGUAUCUUCUCCAUUCUCUUAAAGCCGCAAGGAGAACAUGCAUUGCAACAGGCAAGAAGAAGGGCGAGUAUACUGCAAAACAAUGCUCAAACGAGUAGUAGCUGACAGACAUAAUGGAUGGGUGGAAAAAGGCAUCUUCUGCCAAAGAUCUUGCCUGCCUUGAGGACACAGCUGAAGCAUCAUAAAAUCCAAUAGUGGAAUUAAUUUGAGCCAAUUUUGCUGAUUCCAGAGAGAACUUCACCUGCUUUCCUAUCUCAUCCAUGAUAAUCAUCCUUGGUAAUGAUUGAACCAAUCUAGACAAAGAUCCAAGGGUUGUAGCACUUGAAUGAACAUUAAAACAAGUAUGCUGCCUUGACAAGACAUCCAAUUCCCAUUCUGUGAAGCCUCUUUCACUAGUUAAUAGAUUGUAUUCACCAUAUGCACCAACAUAAAUACUCUCAGAUUUAAGACCAAAAAGUUGCCGGAACUGACCCAUGAAAACUUCAAAAACCUUGUUAAGAUCCUGUUCACAAUGUGCAUGUAUCAAACUUGAGAAACAUAAAUAGAUUAAUAGCAGCCACCAACACUAAUAGGACAUGAGUUUCUAGCCAUUCAAAUAGAGAAAUAAUAAAUGAUGACCGCAUAAACUACUAAUGCUAAUCCCCUAACACCUCACAUUCUAAACUCCACCCUCCACCUUUAAAAAAGUUGGAACACCAUCAAAAUGGCAAACAUAUUUAUGUUCUGAUCUUUAUUGCCGGAUUGAGAAUGAAUCAACUAGCAACCAAGACAAAAUCAUACAAACUUGACAAAAUAUAAAACAAAUAUAAUGAAAAAAGAAUAAGUUUCACUAAAACAAGACCAACGCUGAACUUGAUAUACCGCAAUUAUUCUUAAGUUGGCAAGGUAAAACAAAGUUUUAAGCAUUUAAAAACCUGGACACUCUAGGACAAAACAUUCAACCUGUGUGGAUAUCAUAUGCCUCCUGGGAAGCUUAUCUUCUGAAACUUUUAAACAGGUUGAUGGAUUCCACACCAUAAUACCUCCCCACAUUGGAGAGAUAAAACCAUUUGUUGCAGAAAUCUGUCCAUUUGGAAGCUGUAGAAGAAGAGGGCAUUCCUUUGCAGAUGGCACAAACCACAAAUUGCAAUAUCUUUGAUCGCCCACCAGCUGCAAUAGAAGUAUCUAAGUGCCACUCAUUUGAGUUCACAAAGAAAGGAAGAUCGUUCACACUAAAGAUAUAGCUGCCCAACUUUUCAUCCCAGGAAGAAAAUGAGGACUUUGGUGUAUGGUACAGAACCUGGCUUUCCACACUUAUGUUGGCUAUAGGUCCUAAUGCUUCAAUCACAGGGGCCAACAAAGUCUCAUCUAUUGUCUGAAAAUCCCAAUCAUAAAUCCAAUCACGUGGAUUUGCAUUGAGCAAAUUAAAGGAUAGAACAACCCUUCCAUCAGCACCUACGGGCAUAAACUCCCCAGGAAUCAAUCCUUCCUCCCUGCCUCCAUUGGCAAACACCUUCACAAAUAUCUCUGCCACUCUCUCCACCAUUGCCUCAGCUUCCAAGUUCCUCCCCACAAUCCAUGAAUGCCGAUACUUCCCUACCACCGUCCUUACCCCCUUAACAUCAUCCCGAUUCACCACCACCACGCUAUACACUUUCCCGCCAAAACCCGAACAACGAUCUCCCAACACAGACUCCAAAACAUCAUCAACACCCUCUUCAUCACCAAAAUCAAAACCAACAGCAGAAAUUGUACCACAUUUAUACAAGCAAGAUGGAUUACCAGAGAGAGAUUGGGUGCAAUCCCUACCAAUAAAGUCUACAGUGACAGAGAGAUUGAAAUUACUAAAGCAAGUACCACAUUGAGGGGUUUGUGGGGUCAGUUUGGUCAUUUGUGCAAGGAUUGACUGGUGCAUGCGAUGUGGAUUGAGAACAGAGAAAGAAGAUUGAGGAUUGGAAUCGAUGAAAACGGCUUGGAACUGGCAUGGGAAUUGCAAGGGAUUCGACUCAAUUUCCUUGGAAAGCAUAUCCAUGUCUUCAAAUGGGAGCGGUGAGCGGUAGAUUUCCACUGAUUUCCACAAGAACGGGAAACCUAGAAGGAAGGAGAGAAGGACUGAGACGGCGAGGAAGAGGCGUUUCAAUCCGGGUUUUGUGGUACGCAUGGUUUUAGGGUCGAAAUCCGGUGCGGGAACUUGCGGUGGCGUUUCGGGGGAUUCCGAAAUUUCAGAUGAGGUUUCGGCGGGAUUACGAGGUUCUGAGAUGUCAGCC
rnacentral:misc_RNA from 1 species